UACGGAGGGGGUUAGCGUUGUUCGGAAUUACUGGGCGUAAAGCGUACGUAGGCGGACCAGCAAGUUAGGGGUGAAAUCCCGGGGCUCAACCCCGGAACUGCCCUUAAAACUGUUGAUCUUGAGUUCGAGAGAGGUGAGUGGAAUUCCGAGUGUAGAGGUGAAAUUCGUAGAUAUUCGGAGGAACACCAGUGGCGAAGGCGGCUCACUGGCUCGAUACUGACGCUGAGGUACGAAAGUGUGGGGAGCAAAC
rnacentral:rRNA from 1 species